rnacentral:rRNA from 1 species
UACAGAGGUCUCAAGCGUUGUUCGGAUUCAUUGGGCGUAAAGGGUGCGUAGGCGGCACGGUAAGUCGGGUGUGAAAUCUCGGAGCUUAACUCCAAAACUGCAUUCGAUACUGCCGUGCUUGAGGACUGGAGAGGAGACUGGAAUUUACGGUGUAGCGGUGAAAUGCGUAGAUAUCGUAAGGAAGACCAGUGGCGAAGGCGGGUCUCUGGACAGUUCCUGACGCUGAGGCACGAAGGCCAGGGGAGCAAACGGG